rnacentral:rRNA from 1 species
CCCUUAGACGUUCUGGGCCGCACGCGCGCUACACUGACCAGUGCAACAAGCAUCCGUCCUUGGCCGACAGGCCCGGGCAAUCUUUGAACGCUGGUCGUGAUGGGGAUAGACUUUUGCAAUUUUUGGUCUUCAACGAGGAAUUCCUAGUAAACGCAAGUCAUCAACUUGCAUUGAUUACGUCCCUGCCCUUUGUACACACCGCCCGUCGCACCUACCGAUUGAAUGGUUCAGUGAGUUGUAGGGACCGUGGCUGAGUCACCUUUAUUGGAGACACUGCUGUGGGAACUACUGCAAACUUCAUCAUUUAGAGGAAGGUGAAGUCGUAACA